GGAGAGGUGGGUGAGAGGCUUAAACCAGUCGUUUGCUAAAUGACCGAAGGAGGAAACUUCUUCCGAGGGUUCGAAUCCCUCCUUCUCCGCCA
rnacentral:tRNA from 2 species